AAUACAGCAACAUUUGUGCUUAUUUGAGAUUAUGCCAGAGAAUUUUUCCUUUCCGUACGCAUUCCAGCGAUAUAUUUCUUCUUUGAAAAGGAGGAACCAUAUCCUUCCUCUUUUGCAUGCUUCAGCCGCAGUAAAACUAGAGGAGUCGCCAAAAGCCGUGCGUGCAGGAAGACUUCCAAAACAGAAUCGAUACACGUACGCACGUACCGGGAAGAGAUUGGUGGGAGGGAGAGGUGGGCAGAUUUAUUGUUUGAGUUUUUUUCGAAUCAUGCAUUGUUGCAUCGAUAUGUGUUGAGAUAGGAUUAGGAUAGCAACAGUGUUCAAGAGAGCAAUAAAUACUAAUGUAUGUGCAAUUGGAUAAACAACUGAAACAAAUCAGCAAUAAUAAUAAUAAAUAAAUAAAAGGCCCUCUUCCCUCUCCUCUCCCUCUAUAUAAACCCUCGCGUCCCUUCACUUCCUCACCACAGCAGCAGCACUGCAAGCUUCUGCACCAUACAGCGUCAUGGUGGAGUAAUCAUAGCGUGUUUGUGGGAAAUGGAGUGGAUUAAUGGAGGUUGACAGAAGAGAGUGAGCACCCAUGGUGCUUUUCUUGCAUGAAGAAGAAGCCAUGCUUGAAGCUAUGCGUGCUCACUUCUCUAUCUGUCACCCACCACCAACCCUAGAUUAUAUUCCUAGCUCUAGGGUUAUGGUGUUAAUCAACUUUCGCCUUCCCCAUCCUCUUGCAAAACCCUAAUAUUUCGUCCAUUAAAUAGUUUUUUCACAAUAUAUUCUGCACUUAUAGUCGAUCUGGUAACAGUACCAUGCAUAUUUUUAUAUAUGGAAACUAUAUAUAUUUAUAUUCGAUAUGUCGAAAUGAGUUUCUUUAUUCCCUUUUUUUUUUCAGGUUAAUUCUUUUCAUGUUGCAGGGAGUAUAAUACUUUGUGUGCGUGUUUCUUGAGCACUUGUAGGAAAAGAAUCGAAGAAGGUUUCUAUAAUUUUAGAUAUUUUUAAGGGGAGAAGGUAAAGGCUCAAGAUCAAGCAAAAUUGAAUAUGUGCCAUGAAGAGAAUAGAAUAUAUGCGAAGAUGAUAUAUUUCAAUGGAAAAGGUAAAUUAUUCCAAGUCGAUGGAGGAAGAAUCUUCAGUUUCCUUUAAAGUCUAAAUGCACUCGUCUGCACAUACAAGAAACUUGAAAUAGGCUCCCAAGUUCUUAUUUUCUUUCCAAAUGCAUGAGUUAUAGAGAUGAAGAUGGAGUAAAGUGGUGCUCGAGCUUGUCCUUAUCCUCAAUAAAAAUGAGAGAAUUAUGAAAUGAGAUGUUCUAUGUCAUCCCUUCUCUCUCUUGUUUUAUUUGGGGAUGUUCUAUGAAUUACGUCUUUUUUUGUUGUAAAAUAGAGUUGAUUGGAAUUGCUAUGCCAGUUGAAUUGGAGGUUGUCUACAUAUCUUAUUUGUGUUUUUUGGUUCAAUUUGGGAUGUAUUGAAUUGGAAUUAAAAAAUCAAAAUUUUUUAGGUAUU